ACGUAAUAGAUACCCGGGUAGUCCACGCCCUAAACGAUGUCUACUAGUUGUUGGUGGAGUAAAAUCCAUGAGUAAACGCAGCUAAACGCGUGAAGUAGACCGCCUGGGGAGUACGGUCGCAAGAUUAAAACUCAAAGGAAUUGACGGGGGCCCGGCACAAGCGGUGGAUUAUGUGGAUUAAUUCGAUGCAACGCGAAAAACCUUAACCUGGCCUUGACAUGCCACUAACGAAGCAGAGAUGCAUUAGGUGCCCGUAACGGGUAAAGUGGACACAGGUGCUGCAUGGCUGUCGUCAGCUCGUGUCGUGAGAUGUUGGGUUAAGUCCCGCAACGAGCGCAACCCUUGCCAUUAAUUGCCAUCAUUUAGUUGGGUCAC
rnacentral:rRNA from 1 species